UCUCUUCGAAUUCUAUAACUUAUGUACUAUUAUCUUAGUUUCAUAUAGUAUUACGUAUUGUCUCAUCUCCAUUCUGUUCUGUAACCUCCGUAGGAUUCUGUAACCGACAAUCUCUCCCUCAAAUUCGAUCAAUCACCGCAUUUGUUCUAUAACCUCCAUUUUAUUCUAUGAUUCAGUCGAUCUCUCCAUCAAUGUCGAUCAAUCACCGUUUGUGUGAUUCAGUUAAUUCUCAAUAUCGAUGACACAAUUUUGGGAUGUGCUUCAUCCAUGGCUGUAUCAUUCAUCAACAUCUCUUGCUCACAACAACUACAGAUUCAUGAAUCACGUUUUGGAGAUCCCCCCGCAAGCCACUCAAGUUGCAGACGCCAACGAGAGGAAAAUAGCUAUUCGUCAACGCCUAGGCGAACAAUUCCAGUUUUCGGUUAAUUUUGUUCUUUUAUGUUUGAUGCACCGUACCUGCGUCUUUUAUUUGAUUUUUAAUUUUAUUGGAUUUGGGUGAAGAGUUAAAGUUAAUCCAUUUUAGAGUUGCCUGUGUAUUUUAUUUGAUUUUAAUUUUCUUGGAUUUGGGUGAAUCUUUUAUGUUUGUUGACCAUUUAUUUUGUAAUGUUAAACUCAAAAGUUAAUC